UAAGCUCAGACUCCACAGGGUCCCAGAGACACUCUGUGGUGGGGAAUAAAGUGGGUUCUGCAGGAACCUGGCUGGGAGAGGUUUUUUUCCUGCCUUCUAGGGAGAUUUUGGGAUGGACUGAGGAGCCACCAAGAUGCUCAGAUGUGCCCUGGUGGCUGCAAGUCUUGUUGGGAAAAGAUGGCAUCUCGUCAGGUCAUUGCAUGCACUGAGACAUUUCAUCACCAGGCCAUUUUGGCUCCACGCUGUGUUAGUGCAAGCCUGGAACUGGGAUUUACUGCUUCCUCACACCCGGCCACACACAGAAGUGCUGCUGAAACGCCGCUGCAAAGAGGGGCCAGCUUCAGAGUGCUACCAAAAGGAAGCAGCGAGGGAAUUCCCCCCCCUGCUCAUGUUGCAUCUUAGGGUUUGCUCCGUGCUUGGGCCAUAUGUGACCCGUGCCCCAGGGGGACAGGGGGACAUCAAAGGGCGGCUUCAGGCAAGGAUGAGCUCACUCGCCCCCCUCGACCCCUUCUGCAAGGCAGGGGGUGGCAGCUCCACGUCCACCCAUCCCAGCCACGGCUGGGGGGGUCUGGGGCAGGGAACCCCCUGC